UGCCUGACAAGCUGUAGCAGAAGCAGGAG
rnacentral:piRNA from 1 species